GUGUCAGCCGCCGCGGUAAUACGUAGGAGGCGAGCGUUAUCCGGAUUUAUUGGGCGUAAAGGGCAAGUAGGCGGUUAGACAAGUUGGGUGUGACAUCUCCCGGCUCAACUGGGAGGGGCCAUUCAAGACUGUCUGACUGGAGGGCAGGAGAGGGGGGCGGAAUUCCUAGUGUAGCGGUGGAAUGCUCAGAUAUUAGGAAGAACACCAGUGGCGAAGGCGGCCUUCUGGCCUGCACCUGACGCUGAGAGGCGAAAGCUAGGGGAGCAAACGGGCUUAGAUACCCCGGUAGUCCUAGCUGUAAACGUUGGGUACUGGGUAUUAGGGGGCUAAAAUCCCUUAGUGCCGAAGCGAACGCGUUAAGUACCCCGCCUGGGGACUACGGCCGCAAGGUUAAA
rnacentral:rRNA from 1 species